rnacentral:lncRNA from 12 species
UGUCCUCCAAACCAGGACAGGGGGGACACAGCAAAGGUGUCCCUGAGCUGUAUUGCCUCAUGUACUUUGGCAGGUGCCUGUCUACACUGGGUUGGUGUCUGAGGUUGAAGAAGGCCUGGGAUAUUUGGGGAGGAUCUGAAGAGACCCCUGGCAGACCACAAGCCAUUCCGGGGGAGGCUUUCCCACAGGAUUCGAGUGAAGGCGUCUCCCCUCAGGGGUCCGGCACAGGCUGCGCUGUGUGAGGUGGAGCCAAAGAUGGGUCCGGCGGGGCCUUGGCGUGCCAGCACCAGGGCUGUCGCUGGCAGCAGUGCCCUGUGGGCACGGCAGCCAGAAAGCGGUGCCAGGGUGGGAGAGGGCUGGGAGCCCGCGGGCACGGCGGGGCAGCCCCCGGUGGGAGGGGGCUGGGAGCCCGCGGGCACGGCGGGGCAGGGCUCAGCCACAGCCGGCCCGGGACAGCCGGGCGGCACCGCCACCACGGCCUCCGCCUCCCGCUCACACCGCCCUCAGGGCCGCCGCCCCGGGGAAAGGACGGGCUCUUGUUUAACUAAUAACAUCACAGGGCUCCUCUGGGCUGGCGGGGCUGCUCGUGUCUGCGGAGAUGUGAUUUAUGCCCCGUGGUUUGGUGUGCCACGAACAGCAGCUGCUCUACCACUGCACCUGCCCCUUGAAAGGGUCACUCUGGGUGUCCAGGUACAGACACAGGACCAAAAAGUUCUACUUAAACUGAUGCCCCA